CCCCUAGUAACUGCGAGUGAAGCGGGAAGAGCUCAAAUUUGAAAUCUGGCGUGCCUCCGGUCGUCCGAGUUGUAGUCUGGAGAAGCGUUUUCCGUGUUGGACCGUGUAUAAGUCUCUUGGAACAGGGCGUCAUAGAGGGUGAGAAUCCCGUCUUUGACACGGACUACCAAUGCUUUGUGAUGCGCUCUCAAAGAGUCGAGUUGUUUGGGAAUGCAGCUCAAAAUGGGUGGUAAAUUCCAUCUAAAGCUAAAUACAGGCGAGAGACCGAUAGCGAACAAGUACCGUGAGGGAAAGAUGAAAAGCACUUUGGAAAGAGAGUUAAACAGUACGUGAAAUUGCUGAAAGGGAAACGCUUGAAGUCAGUCACAUCUGCCAGGACUCAGCCUCGCUUCUGCUUGGUGCACUUUCUGGUUUGAUGGGCCAACAUCAAUUUUGACCGUUGGAGAAAGGCCUUGGGAAUGUGGCACCUUUUGGUGUGUUUAUAGCCCUUUGUUAUAUACAACGGUUGGGAUUGAGGAAUGCAGCAUGCCUUUAUGGCUGGGGCCUUUGCCUACACACAUGCUUAGGAUGUUGGCAUAAUGGCUUUAAGCGACCCGUCUUGAAACACGGACCAAGGAGUCUAACAUGCCUGCGAGUGUUUGGGUGGAAAACCCAUACGCGUAAUGAAAGUGACAGCUGAGAUCCUCUCAUCA
rnacentral:rRNA from 1 species